rnacentral:rRNA from 1 species
GCAAGUCUGGUGCCAGCUAGCCGCGGUAAUUCCAGCUCCAAUAGCGUAUAUUAAAGUUGUUGCAGUUAAAAAGCUCGUAGUUGAAUUUCGGGGUCAGUAGGUUGGUCGUGCCACAGGUAUGAACUGGUCUCACUGAUUCCUCCUUCCUGAUGAACCGUAAUGCCAUUAAUUUGGUGUUGCGGGGAGACUGGACUGUUACUUUGAAAAAAUUAGAGUGUUUAAAGCAGGCUAACGCUUGAAUACAUUAGCAUGGAAUAAUGAAAUAGGACGUUCGGUCUUAUUUUGUUGGUUUCUAAGAUUGACGUAAUGAUUAAUAGGGAUAGUUGGGGGCAUUAGUAUUCAAUUGUCAGAGGUGAAAUUCUUGGAUUUAUUGAAGACUAACUACUGCGAAAGCAUUUGCCAAGGAUGUUUUCAUUAAUCAAGAACGAAAGUUAGGGGAUCGAAGACGAUCAGAUACCGUCGUAGUCUUAACCAUAAACUAUGCCGACUAGGGAUCGGAUGAUGUUAAUUGGGCCCCUUUUAAUGACUCAUUCGGCGCCAACCGGGGAAAAAGUAA